UACGUAGGUCCCGAGCGUUGUCCGGAUUUAUUGGGCGUAAAGCGAGCGCAGGUGGUUUAUUAAGUCUGGUGUAAAAGGCAGUGGCUCAACCAUUGUAUGCAUUGGAAACUGGUAGACUUGAGUGCAGGAGAGGAGAGUGGAAUUCCAUGUGUAGCGGUGAGAUGCGUAGAUAUAUGGAGGAACACCGGUGGCGAAAGCGGCUCUCUGGCCUGUAAAUGACGCUGAGGCUCGAAAGCGUGGGGAGCAAACAGG
rnacentral:rRNA from 1 species